AACUAGCUCUGCGGAUCCUGAU
rnacentral:miRNA from 1 species